GACAGAACUUCCAGUGUUCCAGUUUGUGUGCAUCGCCCCUUGUCUUGUCACUGGGCACCACCAAAAAGAGCCUGUCCCUGAGACUAGGAUGAGAAAAAUGUUGAUAACACAGCAACAUUUUAGUUGUUACUGAUCAGCGCUUACACUAAGUCUUUUCAGUUUCUCAUAGGAGUGCACAAGAGACUGGGAAGGAUCACAACCAGUACAACUCACACAACAUGAUGCGGAUGGAGCAAGGAGCAGUGCUGGGGUCACCCCCUGCAGGAGGGGAUACCAUCCAGAGGGACCUUGAUAAACUUGAAAGUAAUGCAUCUGCUCUCAGUUGGAAAUUUCCUUUUAAGAACAGUCAAGAAGGAUGUGAAAAUUCAAGAGCUGAAAGAUGUUUUUUAAACAAAAGCAGAGUACUUGACAAAUGCUUAGAAAUCAGUGCAACUAAAUGAAGCCUGGGAAAAUCUGUGUAUUAGACAGAAAGAGAUCUAAUUCUGUAGUGGUCUUAAUCAUGCAGUCAUGCAACUGUACAGUAAGAAUGUAAAUGAUAAUUUCUAAAAACAUACUAUUUCUAAAAAAAAAUAUGUAUGUGCACUCAAGAAUAAAGUCACUGGAAUCCA